AACGGGUGAGUAACACGUAAGCAACCUGCCUUUAAGACGAGAAUAACAAUUGGAAACAGUUGCUAUGGCUGGAUAGGAAAUAAAAAGGCAUCUUUUUAUUUUUAAAAGACCUUUUUCGGAAGGUAUGCUUAAAGAGGGGCUUGCGUCACAUUAGUUAGUUGGUAGGGUAAAGGCCUACCAAGACGAUGAUGUGUAGCUGGACUGAGAGGUUGAACAGCCACAUUGGGACUGAGACACGGCCCAAACUCCUACGGGAGGCAGCAGUAGGGAAUUUUCGGCAAUGGAGGAAACUCUGACCGAGCAACGCCGCGUGAACGACGAAGUACUUCGGUAUGUAAAGUUCUUUUAUUGAAGAAGAAACAAUAGUGGAAAAACUAUCUUGACGUUAUUCAAUGAAUAAGCCCCGGCUAACUAUGUGCCAGCAGCCGCGGUAAUACAUAGGGGGCGAGCGUUAUCCGGAAUUAUUGGGCGUAAAGGGUGCGUAGGCGGUUUAAUAAGUCUCUAGUUUAAUUUCAACGCUUAACGUUGUCCUGCUAGAGAAACUGUUUAACUAGAGUGAGAUAGAGGUAAGCGGAAUUCCAUGUGUAGCGGUAAAAUGUGUAAAUAUAUGGAGGAACACCAGAGGCGUAGGCGGCUUACUGGGUCUUUACUGGCGCUGAUGCACGAAAGCGUGGGGAGCAAACAGGAUUAGAUACCCUGGUAGUCCACGCCGUAAACUAUGAGUACUAAGUGUCGGGGUUAAACUCGGUACUGAAGUUAACACAUUAAGUACUCCGCCUGAGUAGUACGUACGCAAGUAUGAAACUUAAAGGAAUUGACGGGAUCCCGCACAAGCGGUGGAUCAUGUCGUUUAAUUCGAAGAUACACGAAAAACCUUACCAGGUCUUGACAUACUCUGCAAAGCUAUAGAAAUAUAGUGGAGGUUAUCAGGGAUACAGGUGGUGCAUGGUUGUCGUCAGCUCGUGUCGUGAGAUGUUAGGUUAAGUUCUAAAACGAGCGCAACCCCUGUCGUUAAUUGCCAGCACGUUAUGGUGGGGACUUUAGCGAGACUGCCAAUGAAAAAUUGGAGGAAGGUGGGGAUUACGUCAAAUCAUCAUGCCCCUUAUGAUCUGGGCUACAAACGUGAUACAAUGGCUAUUACAAAGAGUAGCUGAAACGCGAGUUUUUGGCAAAUCUCAAAAAAAUAGUCUCAGUUCGGAUUGAAGUCUGCAACUCGACUUCAUGAAGUUGGAAUCGCUAGUAAUCACGAAUCAGCAUGUCGCGGUGAAUACGUUCUCGGGGUUUGUACACACCGCCCGUCAAACCACGAAAGUGGACAAUACCCGAAAGCGACAGCCUAACUGCGUAAGCAGAGGGAAUCGUCUAAGGUAGGGUCGAUGAUUGGGGUUAAGUCGUAACAAGGUAUCCCUACCGGAAGGUGGGGAUGGAUCACCUCCUUUCU
rnacentral:rRNA from 1 species